GCAGGUUUGGCCGAGUGGUCUAAGGCGAUGGUUUUAAGUCAUUUGACCCACCAUUAUCGAAAGAUGCGAGGGUUCGAACCCCUCAGCCUGCA